AGAGUUUGAUCCUGGCUCAGGACGAACGCUGGCGGCGUGCUUAACACAUGCAAGUCGAACGAAGAGCGAUGGAAGCUUGCUUCUAUCAUUCUUAGUGGCGAACGGGUGAGUAACGCGUAAUCCACCUGCCCUUCAGAGGGGGACAACAGUUGGAAACGACUGCUAAUACCGCAUACGAUCUGACCUCGGCAUCGAGGAUGGAUGAAAGGUGGCCUCUAUUUAUAAUCUAUCACUGAAGGAGGGGAUUGCGUUUGAUUAGCUAGUUGGAGGGGUAACGGCCCACCAAGGCGAUGAUCAGUAGCCGGUCUGAGAGGAUGAACGGCCACAUUGGGACUGAGACACGGCCCACACUCCUACGGGAGGCAGCAGUGGGGAAUCUUCCGCAAUGGACGAAAGUCUGACGGAGCACCGCCGCGUGAGUGAUGACGGCCUUCGGGUUGUAAAGCUCUGUUAAUCGGGACGAAAGGCCUUCUUGCGAAUAGUUAGAAGGAUUGACGGUACCGGAAUAGAAAGCCACGGCUAACUACGUGACAGCAGCCGCGGUAAUACGUAGGUGGCAAGCGUUGUCCAGAAUUAUUGGGCGUAAAGCGCGCGCAGGCGGAUUGGUCAGUCUGUCUUAAAGUUCGGGGCUUACCCCCGUGAUGGGAUGGAAACUGCCAAUCUAGAGUAUCGGAGAGGAAAGUGUAAUUCCUAGUGUAGCGGUGAAAUGCGUAGAUAUAAGAAGAACACCAGUGGCGAAGCUUACUUUUUCUAGACGAAUACUGACGCUGAGCGCGAAAGCGAGGGGAAGCGAACGAGAAUCACAUCCCGCGGUAGUCUGCCGUAAACGAUGGAUUACUAGAUGUAGAAGUAUCCACUCCUUUCUGGAAGGAGU
rnacentral:rRNA from 1 species